CCUUGUUCGGCCUGGUUGUUAUG
rnacentral:miRNA from 10 species